rnacentral:rRNA from 1 species
GAAAUAGCUACCACUUCUACGGAGGGCAGCAGGCGCGCAAAUUGCCCAAUGUCAAAAAAAAACGAUGAGGCAGCGAAAAGAAAUAGAGCCGGCAGUGCCACUGGCAUUGCCGUUUUCAAUGGGGGAUAUUUAAACCCAUCCAAAAUCGAGUAUCAAUUGGAGGACAAGUCUGGUGCCAGCACCCGCGGUAAUUCCAGCUCCAAAAGCGUAUAUUAAUGCUGUUGCUGUUAAAGGGUUC